rnacentral:rRNA from 1 species
UACGUAGGGUGCGAGCGUUGCUCGGAAUUACUGGGCGUAAAGCGUGCGCAGGCGGUGAUGUAAGACAGGUGUGAAAUCCCCGGGCUUAACCUGGGAACUGCAUUUGUGACUGCAUCGCUGGAGUGCGGCAGAGGGGGAUGGAAUUCCGCGUGUAGCAGUGAAAUGCGUAGAUAUGCGGAGGAACACCGAUGGCGAAGGCAAUCCCCUGGGCCUGCACUGACGCUCAUGCACGAAAGCGUGGGGAGCAAACAGG